rnacentral:tRNA from 1 species
GCACCUGUAGGUCAGUGGAUAGAGCGUCUGUUUCCUAAGCAGAAAGUUGUAGGUUCGACCCCUACAUAGUGCG